rnacentral:rRNA from 1 species
GCAUGAAGCUGGAAUUGCUAGUAAUCGCGGAUCAGCAAGCCGCGGUGAAUACGUUCCCGGGCCUUGUACACACCGCCCGUCACACCAUGAGAGUCGGGAACACCCGAAGUCCGUAGUCUAACCGCAAGGGGGGCGCGGCCGAAGGCAGGUCGGAUGACUGGGGUGAAGUCGUAACAAGGUAUC